GUACCUCACAGUCAGCCAAUCAGCAGCAGACCCUCCCUCCCAAACCCUCCCACCUCCUGGACAGCAUCCAUUUUUAAGCUGCAUUCUUAGUGAGCUGUCCAGGAGGUGGGAGGGUCUGGGAGGGAGGGUCUGCUGCUGAUUGGCUGGAAUGUGUCU